rfam:Streptomyces sp. NBRC 110027 DNA, contig: TPA059803.
CUUGACCGCACCGAGCCACAGCGGCUGGUCGGCGGGCCGGUUCUGCCCGUACGUGGCGAGCAGCGCCUGGGCCUC